UUUAACGGCCGCGGUAUCCUAACCGUGCAAAGGUAGCGCAAUCAAUUGUCCCGUAAAUCGGGACACGUAUGAAUGGCUAAACGAGGUCUUAACUGUCUCUUACAGGCAAUCGGUGAAAUUGAUCUCCCUGUGCAAAAGCAGGGAUAACCCCAUAAGACGAGAAGACCCUGUGGAACUUCAAAAACAGCAACCACCCCAACAUACAUUCACACCCACCCCGGGCUCACUUAUUCCUAAAGCACUGGUUCGCAUUUUUUCGGUUGGGGCGACCUUGGAGCAAAACAAAACCUCCAAAAAUUGGACCAUCCCUCCAGACUAAGAGCAACCCCUCAACGUGCCAACAGCACCCAGACCCAAUAUAAUUGAUCAAUGGACCAAGCUACCCCAGGGAUAACAGCGCAAUCUCCUCCGAGAGUCCAUAUCGAAGGGGAGGUUUACGACCUCGAUGUUGGAUCAGGACAUCCUAGUGGUGCAGGAGCUACUAA
rnacentral:rRNA from 1 species